rnacentral:rRNA from 1 species
AUUGAACGCUGGCGGCAGGCCUAACACAUGCAAGUCGAACGAGUGGCGGACGGGUGAGUAAUGUCUGGGACACUGCCUGAUGGCGGGGGAUAACUACUGGAAACGGUAGCUAAUACCGCAUACCAUCAGAUGUGCCCAAAUGGGGUUAGCUUGGUGGUGGGGUAAAGGCUCACCAAGGCCACGAUCCCUAGCUGGUCUGAGAGGAGGACCAGGCACACUGGAACUGAGACACGGUCCAGACUCCUACGGGAGGCAGCAGUGGGGAAUAUUGCACAAUGGGCGCAAGCCUGAUGCAGCCAUGCCGCGUGUAUGAGGAAGGCCUUCGGGUUGUAAAGUACUUUCGGCAGGGAGGCGGUACCCGCAGAAGAAGCACCGGCUAACUCCGUGCCAGCCGCCGCGGUAAUAC